rnacentral:rRNA from 1 species
CCUGGCUCAGGAUGAACGCUAGCGACAGGCCUAACACAUGCAAGUCGAGGGGCAGCACAAGGAGCAAUCUGAGGUGGCGACCGGCGCACGGGUGAGUAACACGUAUGCAACCUGCCUGUAAGCGGGGAAUAACCCGUUGAAAGACGGACUAAUACCGCAUAAUACUAAAUUACUGCAUGGUAAUUUAUUUAAACAUUUAUGGCUUACAGAUGGGCAUGCGCAUGAUUAGCUAGUUGGAGAGGUAACGGCUCCCCAAGGCAACGAUCAUUAGGGGUUCUGAGAGGAAGGUCCCCCCACACUGGUACUGAGACACGGACCAGACUCCUACGGGAGGCAGCAGUGAGGAAUAUGGUCAAUGGACGAGAGUCUGAACCAGCCAAGUCGCGUGCAGGAAGAAUUGUCCUAUGGAUUGUAAACUGCUUUUGCAGGGGAAUAAAGUGCAUCACGUGUGAUGUUUUGUAUGUACUCUGCGAAUAAGGAUCGGCUAACUCCGUGCCAGCCGCCGC